CGUAGGUGGCAAGCGUUAUCCGGAUUCACUGGGCGUAAAGCGCACGCAGGUGGCACGGUAGGUAGGGCAUGAAAACUCCUGGCUUAACUAGGAGAGGCUGUCCUAAACCACCGGGCUUGAGGGUGAGAGAGGGAAGUGGAAUUGCCGGUGUAGUGGUGAAAUGCGUAGAGAUCGGCAGGAACACCAGUGGCGAAAGCGGCUUCCUGGCUCACUUCUGACACUCAUGUGCGAAAGCUAGGGGAGCGAACGGGAUUAGAAACCCCGGUAGUCCUAGCCGUAAACGAUGUACACUAGGUGUCGGUGGUAUUGACCCCAUCGGUGCCGAAGCAAACGCGUUAAGUGUACCGCCUGGGGACUACGGCCGCAAGGUUA
rnacentral:rRNA from 1 species